CCUACGGGCGGCAGCAGUGAGGAAUAUUGGUCAAUGGACGAGAGUCUGAACCAGCCAAGUAGCGUGAAGGAUGACUGCCCUAUGGGUUGUAAACUUCUUUUAUAUGGGAAUAAAACGUUCCACGUGUGGGAUUUUGUAUGUACCAUAUGAAUAAGGAUCGGCUAACUCCGUGCCAGCAGCCGCGGUAAUACGGAGGAUCCGAGCGUUAUCCGGAUUUAUUGGGUUUAAAGGGAGCGUAGGUGGAUUGUUAAGUCAGUUGUGAAAGUUUGCGGCUCAACCGUAAAAUUGCAGUUGAAACUGGCAGUCUUGAGUACAGUAGAGGUGGGCGGAAUUCGUGGUGUAGCGGUGAAAUGCUUAGAUAUCACGAAGAACUCCGAUUGCGAAGGCAGUUCACUGGACUGCAACUGACACUGAGGCUCGAAAGUGUGGGUAUCAAACAGGAUUAGAGACCCCGGUAGUC
rnacentral:rRNA from 1 species